rnacentral:rRNA from 1 species
AUUGAACGCUGGCGGCAUGCCUUACACAUGCAAGACGAACGGUAACAGGUCUUCGGAUGCUGACGAGUGGCGAACGGGUGAGUAAUACAUCGGAACGUGCCUAGUAGUGGGGGAUAACUACUCGAAAGAGUGGCUAAUACCGCAUGAGAUCUACGGAUGAAAGCAGGGGAUCGAAAGACCUUGUGCUACUAGAGCGGCCGAUGGCAGAUUAGGAAGUUGGUGGGAUAAAAGCUUACCAAGCCGACGAUCUGUAGCUGGUCUGAGAGGACGAUCAGCCACACUGGGACUGAGACACGGCCCAGACUCCUACGGGAGGCAGCAGUGGGGAAUUUUGGACAAUGGGCGCAAGCCUGAUCCAGCAAUGCCGCGUGCAGGAUGAAGGCCUUCGGGUUGUAAACUGCUUUUGUACGGAACGAAAAGCCCCGGGUUAAUACCCUGGGGUCAUGACGGUACCGUAAGAAUAAGCACCGGCUAACUACGUGCCAGCCGCCGCAGUAA